UACGGAGGGUGCAAGCGUUAAUCGGAAUUACUGGGCGUAAAGCGCACGCAGGUGGCUGAGAUAGUCGAUUGUGAAAGCCCUGGGCUUAACCUGGGAAUUGCAUUCGAUACUACUCGGCUAGAGUAUGAGAGAGGGCAGUGGAAUUCCCGGUGUAGCGGUGAAAUGCGUAGAUAUCGGGAGGAACAUCAGCGGCGAAGGCGGCGCUCUGGGCCGGUACUGACACUGAGGAGCGAAAGCGUGGGGAGCGAACAGG
rnacentral:rRNA from 1 species